rnacentral:rRNA from 1 species
UACAGAGGGGGCAAGCGUUGUUCGGAAUUACUGGGCGUAAAGGGCGCGUAGGCGGCCUGCUAAGUCGAACGUGAAAUCCCUGGGCUCAACCCAGGAACUGCGUCCGAUACUGGCAGGCUUGAAUCCGGGAGAGGGAUGCGGAAUUCCAGGUGUAGCGGUGAAAUGCGUAGAUAUCUGGAGGAACACCGGUGGCGAAGGCGGCAUCCUGGACCGGUAUUGACGCUGAGGCGCGAAAGCUAGGGGAGCAAACGGG